AAGUCGUAACAAGGUUUCCGUAGGUGAACCUGCGGAAGGAUCAUUACCAAAUCCAAAUACCCAAACCCCAUGUGAACUAUUGUAUAGUCUGUCUUUGGGAGAAAGACGAAAAAGGGACAAAAUAAAAAUUAUUAUAUAGUUUUCGUUUUGUCCUUUCAAGUUUUUCUCCCAAUAGAGUCCGGCGCAAGCUUUUUUAAUAAAGGUUUACGUCCAGAUUCGAAAACCCCCAAAACCACUUGAUUUUUUCUGUUGGAAUUUUCUUUUAUUAAAUUCAAAUAAAAGACAACUUUUAACGGUGGAUCUCUUGGCUCGU
rnacentral:misc_RNA from 1 species